rnacentral:rRNA from 1 species
GAUGAACGCUGGCGGCGUGCCUAACACAUGCAAGUCGAACGGGUGCGCGGGGCGGAAGAUUUCGGUUGGAAGCCCGGCGCAUGAGUGGCGGACGGGUGAGUAACGCGUGGGCAACCUGCCCUGUACAGGGGGAUAACACCUGGAAACAGGUGCUAAUACCGCAUAACGGGGGCGGCCGCAUGGCCGCCUCCUGAAAACUCCGGUGGUACAGGAUGGGCCCGCGUCUGAUUAGCCAGUUGGCAGGGUAGCGGCCUACCAAAGCGACGAUCAGUAGCCGGCCUGAGAGGGCGGACGGCCACACUGGGACUGAGACACGGCCCAG